rnacentral:rRNA from 1 species
GAUGAACGCUGGCGGCGUGCCUAAUACAUGCAAGUCGAGCGAACAGACGAGGAGCUUGCUCCUCUGACGUUAGCGGCGGACGGGUGAGUAACACGUGGAUAACCUACCUAUAAGACUGGGAUAACUUCGGGAAACCGGAGCUAAUACCGGAUAAUAUAUUGAACCGCAUGGUUCAAUAGUGAAAGACGGUUUUGCUGUCACUUAUAGAUGGAUCCGCGCCGCAUUUGCUAGUUGGUAAGGUAACGGCUUACCAAGGCAACGAUGCGUAGCCGACCUGAGAGGGUGAUCGGCCACACUGGAACUGGGACACGGUCCAGACUCCUACGGGAGGCAGCAGUAGGGAAUCUUCCGCAAUGGGCGAAAGCCUGACGGAGCAACGCCGCGUGAGUGAUGAAGGUCUUCGGAUCGUAAAACUCUGUUAUUAGGGAAGAACAAAUGUGUAAGUAACUAUGCACGUCUUGACGGUACCUAAUCAGAAAGCCACGGCUAACUACGUG